GAGGUCGUCGUGUAACGCAGUUGCAUUUUUAUUUCUUUUAAUUUUGUGUUUUUUCGUUCUAAACCCUAGGCUUGUAGACCCGAUGAAACCCUAACUCAUCCUCAUUUUUUACGGUAAAAACUGAAAUUUCUGGAAAGAUCGACGAAUUGGUGGGUUUGCAUGCGAAAAAGGACGGAUUUGAAGCGGACGAUCGAUGUUUCCUGCAAAUAAUUUUCCGAUCGGAGCGCAGAAAUGCUUCACUCCAGGCGAUUUCCAGAUCUGAAACUAGGGCUUGGAUUAGCGAAACAUGUAUGAUAGAAGAUGAAAAAUUGGGGGUUUUGGUUUUUCUUAUGUGGUUCGAGGUUUCGUAGAUGGAAAAUAGCAUAGACAACUCUCAUGCCUCUGAAACUUCUAAGAAAUCUAGAUCUUUGGAUCUUCGAAGCCUCUACGUUGAUAAAACUGAGGUUUCUGUUCGUAAGGAAGGACCCGCAGGUGGAGUGUUGAAGAGGAAAAGACAGGAGUUGGUAGAUAACGAGUUAGAUAUUGGGCAGGGGAAGAAGAAAAGGAAGAGCCGGAAAGAGGUUUCACUCAGUAGUUUUGAGCCCUUUAAUAAGAACAGAAAGGUUUUAGAUUCAGUACAGGGCAAUUGUUUGAAUUAUGGAUCCCCAGAUUCAAACAAUUCCAAUUCGAAGUUAAGGAAGCUACUUUUGGGCCCGAAGAAUCAAGCAAAGAAGAAAAAUACUCAACUUCUGGGGAACGGAGAUAUUCAGACUUUGAGUAGUCUAGGCAAUAUUUCACAUAAAUUGGAUGAUAAUAUCCCAAAACGACCUCGAGGUUUAUUAAGGCGUAAGAAAUUCCAAAACAAUCAUGACUUGGACCAGGUGGGUGUAUCAAGUAGUACAGUCAGCUUUGAUGCACAGAAAUUUGAGUUAAAUGGCAACUCUGUCAAGAUAAUUCCUUCCUGUGAGGGAAAACUGAAGAAAGCUUUAGGUGAUUUAAAGGAAAAUAGCUCCAGUAGGGCAAAUCCAGCUCGGUUUGUGAAGCUAGAUGAUAUCAGUGCUCUUAGAUACAAUGGCAAUCCAUCCCCCAAAAGGGUUCACAAGUAUCAAGGAAAGAGGUGGGAAUCAGCACCAGAGAAGCAAAACCAUAUAGCUGAUAACUCUGACAAGAUCAGUGAAGAUUUGCAAGAAGAUGAUGAGGAGAACCUUGAGCAGAAUGCUGCAAGAAUGUUGUCUUCUCGGUUUGAUCCUAGAUGUACUGGAUUUUCUGGGGAUAGCAAAGCUUUGUCUGCGUUACAAUCUAUGGAUGGGUUAUCAUUUGUGCCAUCAGAUCAUCAAGAUUUUGAUAGUUGUGGGGCAAAUCAUUCCGGUGGGUCUGAAUCCACCUCUGCUGAUGCUGCAGGCAGGGUGUUGCGUCCUAGGAAACAACACAAAGAGAAGGGCAUUACAAGGAAGAGGCGACAUUUCUAUGAAAUAUUUUUUGGGGACUUAGAUGCAUACUGGGUUUUAAACAGGAGGAUCAAAGUUUUUUGGCCUUUGGAUAAGAGUUGGUAUUUUGGCAUUGUUGAUAAAUAUGAUCCAGAAAGGAAGCUGCAUCAUGUUAAAUAUGAUGACCGUGAUGAAGAAUGGAUUGACCUCCAAAAAGAGAGAUUCAAACUCCUGCUACUCCCCAGUGAAAUUCCUGGUAAAUCUGGUCCACAAAAAUCAGUGCAGAGAGAUAAAUGUGUGCAUGAGGAAGAUGUGAAUCCAGAGAAUGACAAUUGUAUAGGAAGCUAUAUGGAUUCGGAGCCCAUCAUCUCAUGGCUGGCUCGAUCAACUCGCCGUGUCAAAUCUUCCCCACUUGGAGUUCUGAAGAGGCAGAGAACAUCUUGUCCAUCUGAAAAGCAAGUGCUACCUAUUGCUGAUGAUUCUGCUGGUCCUCCACCAUAUAGAAAUGAGUUGUUUAGAAAUUCUGUAUUGCCAGAUAGAUUAUUUCAUGGAGAAUUGGCUGAAAAAACAACAGCUAGCACUACAUGCUCCAAUGACAGAAGGCUACCCUUAGUUUAUUUCAGGAGGCGGUUUCACAAGAAAGGACAGGGAUUGGGCUGUCGGUCUGAAGAGACUCCUGGAUACAGAAGUGCUGGUGGGUCUGCUAGCUCUCUUGCUUCUGUUGUUGACUGGGUAGGGGCUUUGGAUAAACAUGAUGUUGCUCUCCAAGUCACUGGUUUUAAAGAUUUGAGACCUCUGGGUCAUGAUAGCAUAUUAUGGUCUGAUGAAAACGUUGGGUUGUUGAAAUUGACUGAUCCGUUGUUGAAAUUAAAACAAGUGAAAUUGAGGCUAAGCUUCUUCCCUCGAUGGAUCCACAUUCUUUCAUUUGAAGCAGAAAAAAAUUGGCUGUUUCGCACUGUAAUGCUGCUUCAUUAUGGUGCAAUAAUGACUUUAUGGCCAAAGGUUAAUUUGGAAAUGCUUUUUGUUGAUAAUGUUGUUGGGUUGAGGUUUAUAUUAUUUGAAGGCUGCUUGAUGCAGGCAGUAGCUUUUAUAUGUUUGGUCCUGACUGUAUUUCACCAAUCCAAUGAGUAUGGGAACUGUGUAGAUCUUCAGUUGCCAGCAACUUCAAUCAGGUUUAAGCUUUCAGGCUUUCAGGAUCUUGGAAGACACUUUGUGUUUGUUGUCUACAACUUCUUGGAGGUAGAAGUUUCGAAGUGGCUGUACCUGGACUCUAAACUGAAGAAAUACUGUUUGAUCAGCAAGCAGCUUCCUCUUCCUGAAUGCACAUAUGAUAAUAUUAAGGUCCUUCAAAAUGGCAGUGCUUGGUUGCGAGUUCCUUCCAUUUGUGAGGGACCCAUCUCUCAUGAGGGUGUAAGGAAGAGAUCUAGGCAUGCUAUUUUGCAAAUGGGCAUCUCCAAAGAAUUAGCUCGUAUUGACUUAAGCUGUUCAGAUUCGAAUUCCAAUGGGAAGCAUUGGCGACUUCCUUCUUUUGUUCUUUCUUUUGCUGCUGCACCUACUUUUUUCCUUAGCCUGCAUCUCAAGCUGCUUAUGGAAAAUAAUGUUGCAUCUAUGAGCUUCCAGAACCUCAAUUCAAUGGCCUUACUGAGGAGCGUAGACUGUGGCAAUUUGGCAUGUGACGAUAGCUCUGGUGUUGAGGAUAUCCCUAACCAAGUACCCAAAAUUGCUAUUGAGAAUAACAGUGGGAGUACCUUGAAUCCAGCUGCUAGGUGUAGACAGUUGUCUUCUACUAAAUUGGAGGUAGAGACUGAUGCUCUCUCCAUAAGAAAUGAUGGUGAUUGGAUAGAGCCUUCACAGAUAUGCUUAAAUGGUGAGCUUAAUGUUACUGGAACUUCUGUAGGUCCCAAGGGUUCAGGGAAGAAUGAGAUUGAUGGCACUAUUGGAAUGCAAGGUCAUCUGUGUCAUCAUGCAGGAUCAGAACUGCUUGCUGAAAGAUCAUGGCCUUCAGUUAUGGAAGAUCAUUCUUCUCCAGAUAAGACUGAAAGCAGGUGCUUCUCUUCUUUGGGUGGUGUUGAUAUUCAAAUUCCAUAUACUGGGCAAGUUGAAAGUCAGCCUUUUGAUGGGGGAAUGCAGAAUAAUCAUCAGUCUACUUCUGGUUCAACAUGGAUUAUGAAUGACUUUGGCAUUCAAAGUCCAAACCCCACUGCACCUCGAAGUGUAUGGAAUCGGAACAGACAUAGCAUUGGUUCUCCAUCACUUGGCUAUCAUUCAAAAGUGUGGCCUGAUGGAAAGGCAGACUUUGUCCUGAAUGGCUUUGGGAAUGGUUCUAGGAAGCCAAGAACUCAAUUCUCAUGUUUGUUGCCGUUCAGAGGUCAUGAAUUUGGCUCAAAGCCAAGAAGCCAUCACCGCAAAGGGCGCCCACAUAAAGGGAUUAAGACUGACGAUGAGAAGAGGAUGUCUGGUGGGUCUAGAAGUCCAAAAAGACACCCAGAAUUGUUAUCUUGUGAUGCGAAUGUUUUGAUUACUGUUGGGGACAGGGGGUGGAGAGAAUGUGGGGCACAGGUUGUGUUAGAGUUUGUUGAUCAUAAGGACUGGAGGCUUCUGGUUAAACUUUCAGGGGCUACACGGUAUUCAUAUAAGGCUCACCAGUUUCUGCAGCCUGGGACAACAAACCGCUAUACUCAUGCUAUGAUGUGGAAAGGAGGGAAGGAUUGGAUCUUGGAAUUUUCUGAGAGGAGUCAGUGGGCCCUUUUCAGGGAGAUGCAUGAAGAGUGCUACAAUCGAAAUAUUCGUGCUGCCUCCAUUAAGAAUAUCCCCAUUCCUGGGGUUUGCCUGAUUGAAGAUGGUGAUGAUAAUGCAAUAGAGGUACCAUUUAUUCGAAGUUCAUCCAAGUAUUUUCGGCAAGUUGAGACUGAAGUUGACAUGGCUAUGAAUCCAUCACAUGUUUUGUAUGAUAUGGAAAGUGAUGAUGAGGACUGGAUUUCAAAACAACGAAGUUCUUUGGAUGUUGAUGGGAGUAACCUGCCAGAGAUUUCUGAUGAGACAUUUGAAAAAAUAAUGGACAUGUUUGAGAAAAUUGCAUAUGCUCGGAAGUGUGAUAACUUUUCAUCUGAGGAAAUAGAGGAGCUCAUGGUUGGAGUGGGGCCUGUUGAUGUUAUUAAAGCCAUUUAUAAGCAUUGGCAGCAGAAGAGGCAGAGGAAAGGAAUGCCUCUGAUCCGGCAAUUCCAGGUUGUGUUCUUUCUUCAAUGUGUGCUUGCCCCUUGUUACAUUCAUAAGUGCCUGUUUGGGAGGGCUUUCGGGACAGCUUCUGUCAUUCCAAGCUGGGCUCCUCACAGGAACACCAGAAGCUGUGUUUGGUGAAAAUCCGGAAAGCUGAUCACUUUGUUCUAGACGCCAGAAACACAGCUGAAUUAGGAAGCUACUCCUGAACAUGGGUGCUCAACCACCAAGGCUGAAUCACCACACUUCGCCUCCAAUACAGAAGCCCUCCCAAACGGGCUCUAAAUCUUCCAAGUAUCCAUGUGCAUCAUACUUCAUGAGAAGACACAAUGGAGCUACUUAUUUUGUGGUCAAAGCCCAUAGCCAUAGGUUAAGGUUGAGUGUUCCAAUUUUCCGUCUUUUUAUCCGAAAAUUCCCUCAUUUUAACUGAGAUAUGCAUAUAGAACCACACUUCCAAAAUAUUACAGAAUUAAGUGAAUAUUUAUAGUUUUAUACAAUUUGGACAUGUAUUUUAUUACAGAACCAUGCUUACAAAACCCAUCAAUUAAGUUUGCUAUAAUAAAAAUAUUUGAUCUUCUCAUUUUUUAUGUGUCGUUUCUAGACAAUUUGGCCAUUUUUUUCCUUGGUUUGAUUGGUCAUGCACAAUAUUUUAAGAGGUGUAGGAGGCCUACACCUGGAGGCAUGCUUCCAGGCGGGGCCGCAGGGCACCUCAAAAUACCCUGAGGCGCAUGCUGGAAGCGUUGAUGCCUCCGAGGCUUACAUCUCAAGUGCAUGAGGAUUGAGGCAUAUGCCUCAAAUGCCUCUGAGGUGUUCAUGUUUUGUGUUCUUCUUGAUACAAAACAUCUUUCAUAAAAAAAAAAAGAAUUCCCCCUCCGUGUGUCCGUCCGUCUGUCCUCCUCUUGAAGAGGCUUAUGCCUCCUUAUGCUCAGGAGGUUUAUGCCUCUUGAAUUUUGAACUAUGCCUUUGAAUAGAACCCAGCCCACUCCACCUGCUGGGUGUGCUCCAGAUCCGAGUCCAGACAAACCUAGGAACAGCCUUGGUACCCCACCACCACGCUUGACCUCGCCAACUAAGCCUAUCAUUUGGUAUGUUUACCUUAGAAAGCCACAUUGUUUUUGAUAGAUACCUUAGAAAGCCACAUUAGGCUACUGGGAAUAACUAACUGCUCAUGGCUUCACAUGUAAAGCUUUAAGUGUUAGCAGGGCAAUGGAAUUGGCAUGAGAAAUUUCCCACUAUUCUUCUGUCUUCUACUUCUUAAGAGGUUGAGUCACCCUCAAAGGCGACUCUUGUGUGAACAGUAACUCAACAAUUGGUAUUAGAGCACCGAUCCAUGCCCAACACCAGACCGGUCUCAUUGGAAGACAAUGUAGAUAGGAUUGAGGUUAGCUUACACAAAUUUGAAGGCGAUCUGGGAGAUAUCAAGAGGCCCUAUUGGUGAUAAUGUCUCAGCAAAACAGGACCAGCACUGAUGGGGGAAGAGAUCCAGAUAACAAAGCGUCCACCGGCGGCAACAAUCGAAAGAUGGUGGGUGCUCAAAGAAAGCUAUGUGGCUGCAUUUCUCAACUUUUUUCUGGCGAGGAUCCGAUGGCUUGGAUCUUCAAGGUUAGUUUUAGUUCAUGAGAUGCUGGCGUACCACAGGGUCAUCAUUGCCUCCAUCUACCUGGAAGGUGCAGCUGGUUCUUCAAUGGACCCCAAUAUCAACCAAUGGUUUAGCAGAUCAGUUAGCAAAGCAAGGGGUAAACAGGGAACAGUGCUUUUGGGCUAAUUUGUAAAGUGAAAAGUAACUGAUGUCCUUUGAUUGAGUUUGUGUGGGGGUAGCCGAGGCUACCUAGAAGCUGUAAUUCUCUCUGUUUUAUUAAUAAAUUUUCUGUUACUGAUAAAAGAAGAGGUGAGGCAAUAUCAUGGUUUCAAUGGUACAAAAUUCUCACCCCCAUGUUACCUGGUCUGAUUUCACGGAGUUGUGCAUGCGAUUUGGGUUGUCAACCUACAUUGAUUAUGAUGAAGCUCUGUCGAAACUGAAGCAGACCACCCAUUGUUCAUGAGUAUCUGUGGAGUUUGAGAAAUUAUCAAUCCGUGUCACUGGCUAGAUGGAGGCCUUGGUUGGAAGCUUUGUGGGAGGCCUCUGGGAAGACAUCUGCUUGGAGGUCAGAGCUUGGCGUCCCAUGACUGUCUGCGGCAGCUGCUCUAGCUCGUAUUCAAGAGGAGAAGCUGGACUGACUUAAGAAGGUGAAUCAGAGUUCUGGCCUGCUCUUGAAGACCCCGCCGGUUUGGGUGGAACCCACAAUGGUGAAGAAUAGUGGGACUGUAGGCCCAAGUAGCAUGCCCUUCAAACGGUUAACAUGGGCCAAGAUGUAGGCUUAAUGUGAGAAGGGAUUAUGCUACAACUGCAAGGAGAAAUUUGCACCAGGCCACUGCUGUAAGGUCCAACAAGUUUAUUUUCUGCAAACCAACGAGCUUCCUGAGGAAACGGACCACAUUGAGGAAGGUAUGUCCACUAAACUGGAUGAGAUGGGCCCUUAAUGGGUUGGAGACCCCAGGAAUUUCUCUUCAGGCUCUCAUGGGCCGAAAUUCAACCUGGAUCAUGAAGGUAGAAAGGCAUGGGCUGGGCUGCUGAGGAAAUGGACCACAUUGAGGAAGCCUCCUCUAUGGGAAAAGUACCAAAAGGAAGUUAAAGAGUGGGAAUUGGCAAUAAAUAAAAUACACCUCCCCAAUGGAGG